ensembl:miRNA mir17a-1 microRNA 17
CAAAGUGCUUACAGUGCAGGUAGUAUUAUGGAAUAUCUACUGCAGUGGAGGCACUUCUAG